CGGGAGGCCCCACGCAUCACGACCCUGUCCGUUCCUCACUUUCAAAGUCGUGAUACGAGCGGCCAAAUUUUUUUGAAAAUGCCCACGCGAGACCCGACGCAUCACGACCCUCUCCGUUCAGCCUAUACACGACCGCAAGCCACCGUUGGCAGCCUUUGGCACGUCCUGCGGCAUCCCUUCAAAAGUCGUGAUACGAGCGGCCAAUUUUUUUGAAAAUGCCCACGUGAGGCCCGACGCAUCACCAUCCUGUCCGUUCAGCCUAUACACGGCCGCAAGCCACCGAUGGCAGCCGUUGACACGUCCUGCGGCAUCCCUUUCAAAGUAGUGAUACGAGCGGCCAAUUAUCGAGAAUGCCCACGGGAGGCCCCACGCAUCACGACCCUGUCCGUUCCUCACUUUCAAGGUCGUGAUACGAGCGGCCAAAUUUUUUUGAAAAUGCCCACGCGAGGCCCGACGCAUCACGACCCUCUCCGUUCAGCCUAUACACGGCCGCAAGCCACCGUUGGUAGCCUUUGGCACGUCCUGCGGCAUCCCUUCAAAAGUCGUGAUACGAGCGGCCAAAUUUUUUUGAAAAUGCCCACGCGAGGCCCGACGCAUCACGACCCUCUCCGUUCAGCCUAUGCACGGCCGCAAGCCACCGUUGGCAGCCUUUGGCACGUCCUGCGGCAUCCCUUCAAAAGUCGUGAUACGAGCGGCCAAGUUUUUUUGAAACUGCCCACGCG